CUUUGUGGAUGAAGCCUGUAAGCCGCCAGCUUGCACACACAGGACUGGCUGCGCACACGCACUCGCAGAAUGAACAAAAAUGCACCCACAUCAGGGCCACAUGAGCAGCAAAUGAAGUUCCCAGGCUAGGGGUUAAACUGGAGCUGCAGCCUGGCCUACACCACAUCCCCAGCAAUGGCAGAUCCUACACCACAGCUCAUGGCAACGCCCAAUCCUUAACCCACGGAGGAGGACCAGGGGUGGAACUCGGGUCCUCAUGGAGACUGGUCAGUUUACCAGGCUGGAGACAAGAUGGUGGAGACCAGGGACCCUGGGCCUGCCUCCUCUCACGAGAACACCGAAAUCACAACUAACCGCUGAACAACCAACAAUAAAACAGACUGGAACCUACCGAAAAAGAUACUCUACGUCCAAAGACAAAGAAGAAACCACAACGAGAUGGCCUCCCAGCCUCGGGGUUUGGCAGCAGGAGGAGGAGCAUCCAGAGCCCCGGCUCUGAAGGCAGCUGGGCUUGAUCACAGGAGCUCCCUAAGACUUGGGGAAAAAGACUCCAUUCCUGGAGGACGCACACGCGAUCUCGUGUCCACUGGGACCCAGGGCAAGAGCACUGACUUGACAGGAGCCGGAGCCAGACCUACCUGCCAGUCUUGGGGGCUCUCCUGGGGAGGCGGGGUGGCUGCAGCUUUCUCUAGGUCAUAAGAGGUGAUGGCGGAAAUGUAGAGACACGUUCAUCUACUUGAAGUCCCCUGCCAGAGAGAGACUUCUUGCUUGGGUAAGUAGCACCAAGACCUGGUCCUAUCCAACAGCUUGCAGACUCCAGUCCUGGGACACCUCAGGCCAAACAACCAAGGGUACUGGGAACAUGGGCCCACCUAUCGGCAGACAGGCUGCCCCGUGACUUCAACCACAGCCACCCUUUCUUUCUUUUUAGGGCUGCAACCACAGCAUAUGAAGUUCCUGGGCUAGGGGUUGGAGCUGCAGGCUUAGGCCACAGCAACGGCAGAUCCAAGCCACAUCUGCAACCUACAGGGCAGCUUGUGACAAUGCUGAGGCCAGGGAUCAAACUCAUAUCGUCGUGGGUACCAGUCGGGUUAAUCCACGGAGCCACAACGAUAACUCCAACACAGCCACCUUCAUGACAAGAUCUUGCCAACCCCAAGAGCCAGGUCCACCCACCAGUGGGCAGACAUGGGCCCCUCCAACAGCAAAGCUUGCAAAAGCCUCUAGAUCAGCCUCACUGGGGCUCAGACACCAGAAGCAAGAAAACUACAAUCUCACAACCUGACUCCACAAAUACAGGUCAGAACCAGCUUUUACAUUCUUUUUUUUUUUUUUUUGCCAUAUCCAGAGCAUAGGGACUGACUCUGAGUCAUGGCUGUGGCAACAAUAGAUCCUUUAACCCACUGGUGCCACAGCAGGGACUGAACCUGCACCUCCACUGCGAUCUGAGCUGCUACCAUUGGAUUCUUAACCCACUGUGCCACAGUGAGAACUCCUUCACUGAUCUUUUCUGUUUUCUUCAUUUCCAUUUCAUUUGUUUCUGCUCUGAUCUUUAUGAUUUCUUUCCUUCUGCUAACUCUGGGUUUUGAGAUUAGAAAAAACACAUCAUGUGGAGACUAAACACUAUGCCAAUAUGCCACUGAACAACCUAAUGGAUCACUGAAGGAAUCAAAACUACCUAUAGAGAAAUGACAAUGAAGACACAACAACCCAAAGCUUACGGGAUACAGCAAAAGCAGUUUUAAGAGGGAAACUUACAGCAAUAUAAGACUACCCCCAGAAACAAAAGUCUCAAACAACUUAACCUUAUAUCUAAAGCAACUAGAGAAAAAGAACAAAUGAAACUUGGGGGCAGGUCUGGGACACAGGCCACCAGGUGGGGCAUGGGUGCAGAUCACAUGGGUGCAGAUCACAUGGGUGCAGACACUGCAGCACCCAGCAUCCUAGCCCUUCUCAAAGCAGAAGCCUCCAUGGGAAAAGACAGAAGGAUGCUCAUCGAAGAAGAUAAAGGGUCGGAGCAAGAAGUCAGCUCUGCUGGGGACAUUCUCAGCAUGGAGGAUGUGCAGGAAGCUAGGAUGAGGUACCCCCUUAAACCAGCUAGAAUGGCCAUCAUCAAAUAGUCUACAAACACUAAAUGCUGGAGAAGGUGCAGAGAAAAGGGAACUCUUACUCUGUUGAUAGGAAGGUAAACUGGUGCCACCACAAGGGAAAACAGUAUGGAGAUUCCUCAAAAAAACUAAAAAUAGAAAUACCAUAGGAUCCGGAAAUUGCACUUUUGUGCAUCUAUCCUGAGAAAACCAUAACUUGAAAAGAUACAUGCACCCCAAUAUUCACUGCAGUACUAUUCACAAUGGCCAAGAUGUUGAAGCAGCCUAAAUGUCCAUCAACAGGAAUGGAUAAUGAAGAUGUGGUACAUACACACAAUGGAAUAUUACUCUGCCAUAAAAGAGAAUGAAAUAAUGUCAUUUGCAGCAACAUGGACGGACCUAGAGACGAUCAUACCAAGUGAAGUUAGACAGUGAAAGACAAACAUCAUACAGAUGUCACUUACAUGUGGAACCUAAAAAAAAGAUACAAAUGAACUUAUUUGCAGAAAAGAAACAGACUGAGUUUGGAAACAAACUUAUGGUUACCAAAGGGGACAGGCACAUGUAUACUGUGUUAUGUGGAAUGACUGGCCAAUAGGGACUUGCUAUAUAGCAUGGAAAACUCUACCCAAUAUUCUAUGAUGAUCUACGUGGGAAAGCAGCUGAAAGAGAAUGGACGUGUGUACAUGUAUAACUGAAUCACUUUGUGGUAUGGCAGACAUGACCACAACCUUGUAAACCACCUGUAUUUCAGUGAAACUUAAAACAAUGAAGAAAAUUACAGAAAACAAAAAAACACAUAAACAAAAUACACAAAUAACUCAUACAACAAAACCCAAUGAAAAAAUGGGCAGAAGACCUAAAUAGACAUCUCCCCAAAGAAGACAUGUGAAUAGUCAGAAGGCACACGAAAAAAUGCUCAACAUCACUAAUUAUUAGAGAAAUGCAAAUCAAAACUACAAUGAGGUACCACCUCAUAUCAGUCAGUAACGACCAUCCUUUCUAUGUCCACAAAUAAUAAAUGCUGGGAGUUCCUGUUGUGGGUCAGUGGAAACAAACCCAACUAGGAUCUAUGAGGAUGUGGGUGAUCUGUGGCCCUGCUCACUGGUUUAAGGAUCCAGUGUUCCCACAAGCUGCAGUGUAGGUUGCAGAUGUGGCCUGGAUUUUGUGUUGCUGUGGCAAUGGCUGGCAGCUGUAGCUCUGAUAUAAACCUUAGCCUAGGAACUUCCAUAUGCCAUGGGCGUGACCCUAAAAACAAAUGAAACAAAAAGCAAGUGCUGGGAAGGGUGUAGAGAAAAGGGAACCUACUAUACUGCUGGUGGGAAUGUAAACUGGCACAACCACUACGGAAAACAGUAUGGUGGCACCUCAGAAAACUAAAUAUAGAACUACCCUCUAAGCAUGUACCCCACUCCUGGGCAUCUAUCUGGAAAAAUUACAAUUCAAAAAAAUACAUGUACCCACAUGUUCACAGCAGUGCUAUUCACAAUAGCCAAGAGAUGAAAGCAACCUCCAUGUCCAUCCACAGAUGAACGGAUUAAGAAGACGUGGUACAUAUACACACAAGGGAAUACUACUCAGGCAUAAAAGGAAUGAAUAAUGCCGUUUGCAGUGACAUGGAUGUAACUAGAGAUUAUCAUACUAAGGGAAGUCAGAAAGACAAAGACAAAAACCACACGACAUCACAUAUAUGUGGAAUUAAAAUAUGGCCUCCUCCCCCCAGGAUUAAGAUGCUGGAGUAGAAGGACUGGAGCUCACUUUUUUCAUGAAAACAACAAAAUUACAACCAACCUCUGAACAACCUUCAAGAAAAUAGACUGGAAACUAUCAAAAAAUAUACCCUGUUUCAAAAGAUAAAGAGGAGGCCAAUCCAGAUGGUAGGAGGGGCAGUUACCUGAUAAGCAACCCCAUACCCGCCAGGUGGGCGGCCCACACACUGGAAAGUAACCGUAUCACAGAGGCUCGCCCACAGGGAGUUCUGAGCCUGUCACGUUCUCAUGCCUGGGGGUGUGGCAUUGGGAGGAGGAGCCCCCAGAGCACUGGUGCUGAGGAUCAGCCGGGCUUGUGUGCAGGAGCUCCAGAGGCCUGGGGAAACAGAGAUUCUACUCUUGAAAGGCACACAACGACUUUCAUGUGCACUGGGUCUCAAGCCAAAGCAGAGGUGCCAGAGGAAUGUGGGUCAGACCUGCCUGCAGUUCUUGGGAUGAUCUCCUGGGACAACAGGGGGUGACUGUGGCUCCUUGUCGGGGAAGGACACUGGAGGCAAAGUCUCAGGAAGAAUCAGCUUGUGCUCCUCCAGAGGUGGCCAUUAUGGAAAAAUCUGGGCCCACUCAUCAGGGCUGAGAAGCCCAGGGUGGGAUCACAGUGUCCCCCCGCCCCCUGCCCCAUCAGCUACUUAAAGACGCACCAGGCAUACAGCCAGCCCUCCAAUCACACCCAGAGACAAAGCCCCACCCACCCGAGGGACAGGAAUUAGCUCCAUCUACCAGUAGGCAGGCCCCUCCCAUCAGGAAACCUCCAGCAAGCCCCCUUACUAACUUCAGCCAUUGGGGGGGCAGACAUCAGAAGUGAGAGAGGCUACAGCCCUACUGCCUGCAAAAAGGAAACCACCCCAGAAGUCUAUACAAAAUGAAAUGACUAAGAUAAAAGAACAAGAAAAAAACCCAGAAAAACACCUAAGUGAUCUGGAGAUUACCAACCUCCAUAAAAAGUCUUUAGGCUGAUGAUAGUGAAGAUGAGUCAAGAUCGAAAUAAACGGGAGGCAAAGACUGAUAAAUUACAAGAAACACCCAAAGAAAGCUAAGAGAAGAUUUAAAGAUUAAGCAAGCAGAGAUGCAAAAUACAAUAAAUGAGAUAAAAAAUUCACCAGAAGGAACCAAGAAGAGAAGCCAGGAGGCAGAAGAACGAGUAAAUGAGGUGGAGGGCAGACUGAUGGAAAUCACUGACACAGAACAGCAAA
rnacentral:lncRNA from 1 species